AAAAAUUUAGUUAAAUUAUAACAUUAGCCCGUCACGCUAAAAUUAUUAAUUACACUAAUAAUUUUUA
rnacentral:tRNA from 1 species